GACGAACGCUGGCGGCGUGCUUAACACAUGCAAGUCGAACGAUGAAGCCUUUCGGGGUGGAUUAGUGGCGAACGGGUGAGUAACACGUGGGCAAUCUGCCCUGCACUCUGGGACAAGCCCUGGAAACGGGGUCUAAUACCGGAUAUGACAUGCUCCCGCAUGGGAUGUGUGUGGAAAGCUCCGGCGGUGCAGGAUGAGCCCGCGGCCUAUCAGCUUGUUGGUGAGGUAGUGGCUCACCAAGGCGACGACGGGUAGCCGGCCUGAGAGGGCGACCGGCCACACUGGGACUGAGACACGGCCCCCACUCCUACUGGAGGCAGCACUGGGGAAUAUUGUUCCACGGGGGGAAGACGGAUGAUGCAACGCCGCCUCGUGAGGGAUGACGGCCUUCGGGUUGUAAACCUCUUUCAGCAGGGAAGAAGCGAGAGUGACGGUACCUGCAAAAGAAGCGCCGGCUAACUACGUGCCAGCAGCCGCGGUAAUACGUAGGGCGCAAGCGUUGUCCGGAAUUAUUGGGCGUAAAGAGCUCGUAGGCGGCUUGUCACGUCCGUUGUGAAAGCCCGGGGCUUAACCCCGGGUCUGCAGUCGAUACCGGCAGGCUAGAGUUCCGGAGGGGGAGAUCGGAAUUCCUGGUGUAGCGGGGAAAUGGGCCAAAAUCAGGGAGAACACCGGUGGCGAAGGCGGAUCUCUGGGCCGAUACUGACGGUGAGGAGCCAAAGCGUGGGGAGCGAACAGGAUUAGAUACCCUGGUAGUCCACGCCGUAAACGGUGGGCACUAGGUGUGGGCAACAUUCCACGUUGUCCGUGCCGCAGCUAACGCAUUAAGUGCCCCGCCUGGGGAGUACGGCCGCAAGGCUAAAACUCAAAGGAAUUGACGGGGGCCCGCACAAGCGGCGGAGCAUGUGGCUUAAUUCGACGCAACGCGAAGAACCUUACCAAGGCUUGACAUACACCGGAAAGCAUUAGAGAUAGUGCCCCCCUUGUGGUCGGUGUACAGGUGGUGCAUGGCUGUCGUCAGCUCGUGUCGUGAGAUGUUGGGUUAAGUCCCGCAACGAGCGCAACCCUUGUCCCGUGUUGCCAGCAAGCCCUUCGGGGUGUUGGGGACUCACGGGAGACCGCCGGGGUCAACUCGGAGGAAGGUGGGGACGACGUCAAGUCAUCAUGCCCCUUAUGUCUUGGGCUGCACACGUGCUACAAUGGCCGGUACAAUGAGCUGCGAUACCGCAAGGUGGAGCGAAUCUCAAAAAGCCGGUCUCAGUUCGGAUUGGGGUCUGCAACUCGACCCCAUGAAGUCGGAGUCGCUAGUAAUCGCAGAUCAGCAUUGCUGCGGUGAAUACGUUCCCGGGCCUUGUACACACCGCCCGUCACGUCACGAAAGUCGGUAACACCCGAAGCCGGUGGCCCAACCCCCUUGCGGGGAGGGAGCUGUCGAAGGUGGGACUGGCGAUUGGGACGAAGUC
rnacentral:rRNA from 1 species